rnacentral:rRNA from 1 species
GAGGAACGCUGGCGGCGUGCCUAAUACAUGCAAGUCGAGCGAACAGACGAGGAGCUUGCUCCUCUGACGUUAGCGGCGGACGGGUGAGUAACACGUGGAUAACCUACCUAUAAGACUGGGAUAACUUCGGGAAACCGGGGCUAAUACCGGAUAAUAUAUUGAACCGCAGGGUUCAAUAGUGAAAGACGGUUUUGCUGUCAUUUAUAGAUGGACCCGCGCCGCAUUAGCUAGUUGGUAAGGUAACGGCUUACCAAGGCAACGAUGCGUAGCCGACCUGAGAGGGUGAUCGGCCACACUGGAACUGAGACACGGUCCAGACUCCUACGGGAGGCAGCAGUAGGGAAUCUUCCGCAAUGGGCGAAAGCUUGACGGAGCAACGCCGCGUGAGUGAUGAAGGUCUUCGGAUCGUAAAACUCUGUUAUUAGGGAAGAACAAAUGUGUAAGUAACUAUGCACGUCUUGACGGUACCUAAUCAGAAAGCCACGGCUAACUACGUG